rnacentral:rRNA from 1 species
UACGAAGGGGGCUAGCGUUGCUCGGAAUUACUGGGCGUAAAGGGCGCGUAGGCGGUACUGUUAGUCAGGCGUGAAAGUCCUGGGCUCAACCUGGGAACUGCGCUUGAUACGGCAGAGCUAGAGGAUGGAAGAGGGUCGCGGAAUUCCCAGUGUAGAGGUGAAAUUCGUAGAUAUUGGGAAGAACACCGGUGGCGAAGGCGGCGACCUGGUCCAUUACUGACGCUGAGGCGCGACAGCGUGGGGAGCAAACAGG